rnacentral:rRNA from 1 species
GACGAACGCUGGCGGCGUGCUUAACACAUGCAAGUCGAACGGAAAGGCGCUGCUUUUGUGGGGUGCUCGAGUGGCGAACGGGUGAGUAACACGUGAGUAACCUGCCCUUGACUUUGGGAUAACUUCAGGAAACUGGGGCUAAUACCGGAUAGGAGCUCCUGCUGCAUGGUGGGGGUUGGAAAGUUUCGGCGGUUGGGGAUGGACUCGCGGCUUAUCAGCUUGUUGGUGGGGUAGUGGCUUACCAAGGCUUUGACGGGUAGCCGGCCUGAGAGGGUGACCGGCCACAUUGGGACUGGGAUACGGCCCAGACUCCUACGGGAGGCAGCAGUGGGGAAUAUUGCACAAUGGGCGGAAGCCUGAUGCAGCAACGCCGCGUGCGGGAUGACGGCCUGCGGGUUGUAAACCGCUUUCGCCUGUGACGAAGCGUGAGUGACGGUAAUGGGUAAAGAAGCACCGGCUAACUACGUG